UUGUUGAUAUUCCAGUACUAGAUAUGAUCGUGAUGGAGGGACGCAGUAGGCUAAGAGAUGCCAGUUAAUGGAUUCUGGUCUAAGCAGUGAGGUGUGAGAUGUGUCAAAUGCAUUUCUCUUUAACAUUGAGCUGUGAUGGGGAAGCAACUACGGUUGCGAACUCUCUGAUGUCACACUGCCAAGAAAAGCUUCUAGCGUAAAGUCAUAUCUACCCGUACCGCAAACCGACACAGGUAGUCGAGGCGAGUAGCCUCAGGUGAUCGAGAGAACUCUCGUUAAGGAACUCGGCAAAAUAGCCCCGUAACUUCGGGAGAAGGGGUGCUGGUGUAAAAGCCAGCCGCAGUGAAUAGGCCCAAGCAACUGUUUAUCAAAAACACAGCUCUCUGCUAAACCGCAAGGUGAUGUAUAGGGGGUGACGCCUGCCCGGUGCUGGAAGGUUAAGAGGAGUGCUUAGACGUAAGUCGAAGGUAUGAAUUGAAGCCCCAGUAAACGGCGGCCGUAACAAUAACGGUCCUAAGGUAGCGAAAUUCCUUGUCGGGUAAGUUCCGACCCGCACGAAAGGCGUAAUCAUUUGGGCACUGUCUCAACGAGAGACUCGGUGAAAUUUUAGCACCUGUGAAGAUGCAGGUUACCCGCGACAGGACGGAAAGACCCCAUGGAGCUUUACUGUAGUUUGAUAUUGAGUACCUGUAAGUCAUGUACAGGAUAGGUAGGAGCCAUUGAAAUAGGGACGCUAGUUUCUAUUGAGGCGUUGUUGGGAUACUACCCUUGACUUAUGGUUACUCUAACCCGCUGGCAUAAUCGGCCAGGGAGACAGUGUCUGACAGACAGUUUGACUGGGGCGGUCGCCUCCUAAAGAGUAACGGAGGCGCUCAAAGGUUGGCUCAGAUUGGUUGGAAAUCAAUCGUAGAGUGUAAAGGUAAAAGCCAGCUUGACUGCGAGAGCUACAACUCGAGCAGGUAGGAAACUAGGACUUAGUGAUCCGGUGGUACCGCAUGGAAGGGCCAUCGCUCAACGGAUAAAAGCUACCCUGGGGAUAACAGGCUUAUCUCCCCCAAGAGUUCACAUCGACGGGGAGGUUUGGCACCUCGAUGUCGGCUCGUCGCAUCCUGGGGCUGUAGUCGGUCCCAAGGGUUGGGCUGUUCGCCCAUUAAAGCGGCACGCGAGCUGGGUUCAGAACGUCGUGAGACAGUUCGGUCCCUAUCCGUCGCGGGCGUAGGUAAUUUGAGAGGAUCUGUCCUUAGUACGAGAGGACCGGGAUGGACUUACCGCUGGUGUACCAGUUGUUCCGCCAGGAGCACGGCUGGAUAGCUAUGUAGGGAAGGGAUAAGCGCUGAAAGCAUCUAAGUGCGAAGCCCACCUCAAGAUGAGAUUACCCAUUCGUAAGAAUUAAGAGCCCAGAGA
rnacentral:rRNA from 1 species